rnacentral:rRNA from 1 species
GGUUAAGCGACUAAGCGUACACGGUGGAUGCCCUGGCAGUCAGAGGCGAUGAAGGACGUGCUAAUCUGCGAAAAGCGUCGGUAAGGUGAUAUGAACCGUUAUAACCGGCGAUGUCCGAAUGGGGAAACCCAGUGUGAUUCGUCACACUAUCGUUAACUGAAUACAUAGGUUAACGAGGCGAACCGGGGGAACUGAAACAUCUAAGUACCCCGAGGAAAAGAAAUCAACCGAGAUUCCCCCAGUAGCGGCGAGCGAACGGGGAGCAGCCCAGAGUCUGAAUCAGCUUGUGUGUUAGUGGAACGGUCUGGAAAGUCCGACGGUACAGGGUGAUAGUCCCGUACACCAAAAUGCACAGGUUGUGAACUCGAAGAGUAGGGCGGGACACGUGGUAUCCUGUCUGAAUAUGGGGGGACCAUCCUCCAAGGCUAAAUACUCCUGACUGACCGAUAGUGAACCAGUACCGUGAGGGAAAGGCGAAAAGAACCCCGGCGAGGGGAGUGAAAAAGAACCUGAAACCGUGUACGUACAAGCAGUGGGAGCACCUUCGGGUGUGACUGCGUACCUUUUGUAUAAUGGGUCAGCGACUUAUAUUCUGUAGCAAGGUUAACCGUAUAGGGGAGCCGCAGGGAAACCGAGUCUUAACUGGGCGUUAAGUUGCAGGGUAUAGACCCGAAACCCGGUGAUCUAGCCAUGGGCAGGUUGAAGGUUGGGUAACACUAACUGGAGGACCGAACCGACUAAUGUUGAAAAAUUAGCGGAUGACUUGUGGCUGGGGGUGAAAGGCCAAUCAAACCGGGAGAUAGCUGGUUCUCCCCGAAAGCUAUUUAGGUAGCGCCUCGUGAACUCAUCUUCGGGGGUAGAGCACUGUUUCGGCUAGGGGGUCAUCCCGACUUACCAACCCGAUGCAAACUACGAAUACCGAAGAAUGUUAUCACGGGAGACACACGGCGGGUGCUAACGUCCGUCGUGAAGAGGGAAACAACCCAGACCGCCAGCUAAGGUCCCAAAGUCAUGGUUAAGUGGGAAACGAUGUGGGAAGGCACAGACAGCCAGGAUGUUGGCUUAGAAGCAGCCAUCAUUUAAAGAAAGCGUAAUAGCUCACUGGUCGAGUCGGCCUGCGCGGAAGAUGUAACGGGGCUAAACCAUGCACCGAAGCUGCGGCAGCGACACUAUGUGUUGUUGGGUAGGGGAGCGUUCUGUAAGCCUGCGAAGGUGACCUGUGAGGGUUGCUGGAGGUAUCAGAAGUGCGAAUGCUGACAUAAGUAACGAUAAAGCGGGUGAAAAGCCCGCUCGCCGGAAGACCAAGGGUUCCUGUCCAACGUUAAUCGGGGCAGGGUGAGUCGACCCCUAAGGCGAGGCCGAAAGGCGUAGUCGAUGGGAAACAGGUUAAUAUUCCUGUACUUGGUGUUACUGCGAAGGGGGGACGGAGAAGGCUAUGUUAGCCGGGCGACGGUUGUCCCGGUUUAAGCAUGUAGGCUGAUUGUCCAGGCAAAUCCGGAUAAUCAAGGCUGAGGUGUGAUGACGAGGCACUACGGUGCUGAAGUAACAAAUGCCCUGCUUCCAGGAAAAGCCUCUAAGCAUCAGGUAACAUCAAAUCGUACCCCAAACCGACACAGGUGGUCAGGUAGAGAAUACCAAGGCGCUUGAGAGAACUCGGGUGAAGGAACUAGGCAAAAUGGUGCCGUAACUUCGGGAGAAGGCACGCUGGUGUGUAGGUGAAGUCCCUGCGGAUGGAGCUGAGACCAGUCGAAGAUACCAGCUGGCUGCAACUGUUUAUUAAAAACACAGCACUGUGCAAACACGAAAGUGGACGUAUACGGUGUGACGCCUGCCCGGUGCCGGAAGGUUAAUUGAUGGGGUUAUCCGUAAGGAGAAGCUCUUGAUCGAAGCCCCGGUAAACGGCGGCCGUAACUAUAACGGUCCUAAGGUAGCGAAAUUCCUUGUCGGGUAAGUUCCGACCUGCACGAAUGGCGUAAUGAUGGCCAGGCUGUCUCCACCCGAGACUCAGUGAAAUUGAACUCGCUGUGAAGAUGCAGUGUACCCGCGGCAAGACGGAAAGACCCCGUGAACCUUUACUAUAGCUUGACACUGAACAUUGAGCCUUGAUGUGUAGGAUAGGUGGGAGGCUUUGAAGCGUGGACGCCAGUCUGCGUGGAGCCAACCUUGAAAUACCACCCUUUAAUGUUUGAUGUUCUAACGUUGGCCCCUGACCGGGGUUGCGGACAGUGUCUGGUGGGUAGUUUGACUGGGGCGGUCUCCUCCCAAAGCGUAACGGAGGAGCACGAAGGUUAGCUAAUCCUGGUCGGACAUCAGGAGGUUAGUGCAAUGGCAUAAGCUAGCUUGACUGCGAGCGUGACGGCGCGAGCAGGUGCGAAAGCAGGUCAUAGUGAUCCGGUGGUUCUGAAUGGAAGGGCCAUCGCUCAACGGAUAAAAGGUACUCCGGGGAUAACAGGCUGAUACCGCCCAAGAGUUCAUAUCGACGGCGGUGUUUGGCACCUCGAUGUCGGCUCAUCACAUCCUGGGGCUGAAGUAGGUCCCAAGGGUAUGGCUGUUCGCCAUUUAAAGUGGUACGCGAGCUGGGUUUAGAACGUCGUGAGACAGUUCGGUCCCUAUCUGCCGUGGGCGCUGGAGAAUUGAGGGGGGCUGCUCCUAGUACGAGAGGACCGGAGUGGACGCAUCACUGGUGUUCGGGUUGUCAUGCCAAUGGCACUGCCCGGUAGCUAAAUGCGGAAGAGAUAAGUGCUGAAAGCAUCUAAGCACGAAACUUGCCCCGAGAUGAGUUCUCCCUGAGACUUUAAGUCUCCUGAAGGAACGUUGAAGACGACGACGUUGAUAGGCCGGGUGUGUAAGCGCAGCGAUGCGUUGAGCUAACCGGUACUAAUGAACCGUGAGGCUUAACCUU